rfam:Schistosoma haematobium scaffold716_12, whole genome shotgun sequence.
AUCCAACUGAAGAGUCUCAAAUAAGAUGAAACUCGCGUCCUAGAU